GAGCGAACAGAUAAGGAGCUUGCUCCUUUGACGUUAGCGGCGGACGGGUGAGUAACACGUGGGUAACCUACCUAUAAGACUGGGAUAACUUCGGGAAACCGGAGCUAAUACCGGAUAACAUUUGGAACCGCAUGGUUCUAAAGUGAAAGAUGGUUUUGCUAUCACUUAUAGAUGGACCCGCGCCGUAUUAGCUAGUUGGUAAGGUAACGGCUUACCAAGGCGACGAUACGUAGCCGACCUGAGAGGGUGAUCGGCCACACUGGAACUGAGACACGGUCCAGACUCCUACGGGAGGCAGCAGUAGGGAAUCUUCCGCAAUGGGCGAAAGCCUGACGGAGCAACGCCGCGUGAGUGAUGAAGGGUUUCGGCUCGUAAAACUCUGUUAUUAGGGAAGAACAAACGUGUAAGUAACUGUGCACGUCUUGACGGUACCUAAUCAGAAAGCCACGGCUAACUACGUGC
rnacentral:rRNA from 1 species